CCAGCAGCCGCGGUAACUCCAGCUCCAAUAGCGUAUAUUAAAGUUGCUGCAGUUAAAAAGCUCGUAGUUGGAUCUCGGUACCACUGUUGUUCGUCAGUCCUUUGUGACAGUUGGCUAUGCGCGCAUAGGCACACAAGGCUUGUGUUGCCGUGGCUAUACUGUUCAAGUUGGCGAUGCGAUGGUGUCACCUUUCAGCCAUGUCUGUGGUGAAAUACCCUCAGGUGUAGGCGAGUGUCGGAUGUUGCCUAGCGUUAGUUGGGCUCGUCGGCUUGUCUGCAUGCCUUUGGAUGCCCUUUAAGAGGUGUCCGUGGGCGGAUGGCACGUUUACUUUGAACAAAUUUGAGUGCUCAAACCAGGCCGAUGUUGCCUGAAAAGUUUUGCAUGGAAUAAUGGAAUAGGACUUCGGUUCUAUUUCGUUGGUUUUCGGAUCCGAAGUAAUGAUCAAAAGAGACAGGCGGGGG
rnacentral:rRNA from 1 species